rnacentral:rRNA from 1 species
CCUACGGGAGGCAGCAGUGAGGAAUAUUGGUCAAUGGGCGCGAGCCUGAACCAGCCAAGUCGCGUGAGGGAAGACGGUCCUAUGGAUUGUAAACCUCUUUUAUCGGGGAGCAAAAGACACCACGCGUGCCGUUCCGAGAGUACCCGGAUAAAAAGCAGCGGCAAACUCCGUUCCUGCAGCCGCGGUAAGACGGGGGCUGCGAGGGUUAGCGGGAUGUCUUGGGUUAAAGGGGGGGGCAGGCGGAAGAUCAAGUCAGCGGUAAACUUGAGAGGCUCAACCUCUUCGAGCCGUUGAAACUGGUUUUCUAGAGUGAGCGAGAAGUAUGCGGAAUGCGUGGUGUAGCGGUGAAAUGCAUAGAUAUCGCGAAGAACUCUGAUGGCGAAGGCAGCAUACCGGCGCUCAACUGACGCUCAUGCACGAAAGUGUGGGUAUCGAAAAGGAUUAGAUACCCCGGUAGUC